AUUGAACGCUGGCGGCAGGCCUAACACAUGCAAGUCGAGCGGGGUUUUUCGGACCUAGCGGCGGACGGGUGAGUAAUGCGUAGGAAGCUGCCCGAUAGAGGGGGGAUACCAGUUGGAAAACGACUGUUAAUACCGCAUAGUGUCUACGGACCAAAGUGUGGGACCUUCGGGCCACAUGCUAUCGGAUGCGCCUACGUGGG
rnacentral:rRNA from 1 species